GGUCAUAUUCACCCUGUAGGUAUACUGCUACACUAUGAGGUCAUAUUCACCCUGUAGGUAUACUGCUACACUAUGAGGUCAUAUUCACCCUGUAGGUAUACUGCUACACUAUGAGGUCAUAUACACCCUGUAGGUAUACUGCUACAUUAUGCAGCAAUAUUCACCCUGUAGGUAUACUGCUACACUAUGAGGACAUAUUCACCCUGUAGGUAUACUGCUACACUAUGAGGUCAUAUUCACCCUGUAGGUAUACUGCUACACUAUGAGGACAUAUUCACCCUGUAGGUAUACUGCUACACUAUGAGGUCAUAUUCACCAUGUAGGUAUACUGCUACAUAAGCCAGUCUCCUCCCCAAUGGGUUGUAUAAUAUGUAGUGUAAUUGGUGCUACUGUUGGCUGGCUGAUAAUUGAAACAGCCCAUCUAAUUAAACACUCAUUACCAGACACUGCCUGAUGACAGAGGGAUGGUGGGAUGUAGGAAUGGAGGGAUGUGGAUGGAGGGAUGAAUUGAUGAUGGGAUUGCAAGGUGGAGGAACAGGGGGAUGUAGGGAUAGAGGGAUGGGCUUUUAAUGAACCCUGUGGCUUCACAAAAGUCACAAUAGAAUCACUGUUAUCAGAUUCGUCAUCUGGAAUGUGCUUCACCCGCAAGUGAAUCUUUGACAAUAGAAAUAUCUUCUGUGUACAAUGUAAAACACCAAAUAAUGCUUGCAGAGCAGAAUUAGGCCGAUACCAGCCAGAAAAGAGAAGUUAAAUUCUACAACCACCUAAAAGGAAGUGAUUCCCAAACCUUCCAUAAUAAAGCCAUCGCCUACAGAGAAAUUAACCUGGAGAAGAGUCCCCUAAGCAAGCCGGUCCUGGGGCUCUGUUCACAAACAGACCCCACAGAGCCCCAAUAGCAACACAAUUAGACCCAACCAAAUCAUGAGAAAACAAAAAGAUAAUUACUUGACACAUUGAAAGAAUUUACAAAAAACUAGAAUGCUAUUUAGCCCUAAACACAGUGGCAGAAAACCUGACAACUGUGACUGACCAAAAUUAAGGAAAUCUUUGACUAUGUACAGACUCAGUGAGCAUUGCUAUUGAGAAAGGCCGCCGAAAGCAGACCUGGGUCUUAAGAGAAGACGGGCUAUGUGCUCACUGCCCACAAAAUGAGGUGGAAACUGAGAUGCACUUCCUCACCUCCUGCCAAAUGUAUGGCUGUAUUAGAGACACAUAUUUCCCUCAGAUUACACAGACCCACAAAUAAUUUGAAAACUAAUCCAAUUUUGAUAAACUCCCAUAUAUACUGGGUGAAAUUCCACAGUGUGCCAUCACAGCAGCAAGAUUUGUGACCUGUUGCCACAAGAAAAGGGGCAACCAGUGAAGAACAAACACCAUUAUAAAUACAAC
ensembl:lncRNA